rnacentral:lncRNA from 1 species
CCGCGCGAUUGGAUUGGGGCAGGCACUGUGAUCCACUCACCAGAGGUCUUAGGGUCCCGUGGGGAGUCCCGUGUGGACCCUUGCGGGUGUUGGGCAAGACUCUGCUGGCAAGGUAGCCCGGGGCUCGAGUCACGAGUCGAGCGGAAGGGCUAUUAGUAAAAUCUUAACCAAUUUGUUGACAGUGAGAUUUAUUCUUUACUUUUGCAGUUAAUCUCAAGUACAAUAGCCAUGCUUACUGAGUUUUGUUGAAACAAAUAAUACAAAUAAUACGCAUAUUAUUUACUGUAACUAGUCCCACAGUCAGAAUGGAGUAUAGCUCUCUGAUCUCAAAACAACUGCAGAAUCACACUGGCAUUUUUGUAGUCUUACCCCUUUGCCUAAACGUUGAUAUCUCAUCUGUUUCCCAACACAUGAACUGUGAAUUUUCUAACAUAACACCUAUAUGUAACAUAGAGUCUGUAAUUUGCUGAAACUGCUUUCGGGUUACUAUGACAUUGCAUGGAUGGGGAAUUCAUUCCUUCUCAUUCCACUGUAAGGGUGUGCCUGUUUGUUUAUCCAUUCAUUUUUUGAAGCAUAUUUAGUUUAUUACAGCUUGGCUAAGGAUGACUAGAGAUACUUUAGAUAUUCAUAGUCAGGUUUUUUGAUAUGGCACCUCUAGCGUAUAAUGCCUCAGAGUGGGACCACCGCUCAACCUGAGAAUCUUGUGUUUAACUCUAGAAGGAAGAGGCAAAACAUGUUUCAAAGUGGCUGCAUUUUAUUACUUAUUUUAAAAGUUAUAUUUAUUUGGGGCUGAAGAGAGAACUCUUUCACUUUUAGCACUGAUGACUCUUCCAGAGGACCUGAGUUUGGUUCCCAACACACAUAUGGUAUCUCCAUAGCUGUAGUUUAAGGAGAUCUGACACAUUUUUCUGGCCUCCAUGACACUGAACUGAUAUAGUAAGCAUAUAGUCACUGGUGCAAGCAAAAUACUCAUAUGCAUAGAGUAAAAAUGAGCAAACCAUAAAAAUGCAUUUGUUUAUUUCUGUGCCUGGGCAGGAUGCAAGCCAUGGCAUACCUGCAUAUGUCAGAGAGCAGCUUACAGGGCAGAGUAGUUCCUUUUCUUAUACAGUGUGAAUCCCAAAGUUUAAACUCAGGUCACAAAGCUAGGCAGAAAUUGCCUUUAUCUAGUUAAACAUGUUGUCUGCCUAGAUGAACAUUCCUCCAACACAAACUAAACGAAAUUAAAUUAAACUAAACAACUAAACUAAUCUAAUCUAAACUAAACUAAACUAAAGUAAACUAGCUGCAAAGACUGCUUGACUGACUUUCCAAUGGUCUAGAGUCUGUGAGUAGACGAUAGAGCUUCUGAAUUUGAUUUAUGGUACAGGGUUCUCUGUCUGUCUUCUUAGCGUCUUCACAAAUAGAAAAGAACAGCUCUCUGGAAUUUCAUCAAAGGUGUUAUAAUUGCCUCUACUGAAUCCACUCACAUAUUCCUGACCUCACUAAAUAGCAUUGACUUCUUUAGCAAGAUCCCAUGUUCAAACAAAUACUUCAUGGGAUAUCAAAUUUCAGCAUAUUCAUGGAGUUUUGGAACAGGCAUCAAUCAAUGACCUAUAUGUAGUUUUGCCUUAGUUAAGGUUUUUAUUGCUGAGAUGAAACACCAUGACCAAAAGUUAAGUGGGGGAAGAAAAUGUUUGUCUGGCUUACACUUCCAUAUUGAUGUUUAUAAUGACAGGAAUCAGGACAAGAAUUCAAACUGGGCAGGGUCUUGGAGGCAUCCGCUGAUGUAGGGGGCGAUGGAUGGGUACUAUUUAUUGGCUUGCUCCCCAAGUCAUUCUCAGCCUUCUUUCUUAUAGAACCCAGAACCACCAGCCCAUGGGUGACCCCACCCACAAUGGUGUAGGUCCUCCUCCAUUAAUUACUAAUUAAGAAAAUCCUACAGCUGGUUCUUGUGGAGGCAUUUUUCUCAAUUCAGGUAACCCUAGGUUGUGUCAAGUUGACAUAAAACUCUCCAGCAUAGUGUUCCAAAUGCUCUGUCCUCUACCGUCUCGACCUUUGAAAGCAAGAUUAUUAGGAUUUUGGUUUUCCACUAAGAGUAGAGUAGCUGCAUGCAGUUUUAGUCUGCCUUCUCUAAUUGCUAAGAAUGUUGAAUAUCGUUAUGUAUGCCCAUGCUACCUUGAUAUCAUCCUGGGAAAAUGCUUAUUUGAGUAUAUGGUUUAAUUUUUACUAAUUAAUUGCUUUCUUCCUUUGGAUGUGUUGGAGUUCUUAAAAAAUAAAUUUUAUCCUGAUAGUGGUGCCAGGUAUCCUAAGACCAGCACAAGCUCAGAUUACACAAAUUCUUAACAUGGAGGACCUGGGAAGCUAUUGGUGAUUGACAGCUGCUAGGACAGGAGAGUGAAUUUUCACUAUAGGAUGAAUGAGGUUAGGUAGAGCACAUUCCAGUAGAGGACCGCACACCCAAGAGAACAUUAGCAGUACAAAAUAGACUUAAUAGGGUUCAAAAAUUAAGUACUCAAAGUAGAGUAGGUGUUGAGGAAGGACACCUCUUGGCUAUAUUUAGGGGGAAGGUGAAUACAAUAAUAACCACAAUAUAUGAAAUUCUCAUGGCUAAUAAGAAUACUAAAUAUUUUAAACACGAAUCCUUUUGUGAGAUUACUAAAUAUCUCCUCACACAAUACACUAAAUAUUUAUCUUCUAUCUGUAGUGUCUUUCACAGAACAAAGCAUUUACAUUUCAAUAUGCAUCAUUAAAGAACUCUGCAUACCUUAAUCCAUGGCAUAAAAAAAUUUGUGUUAUGCUACCAGAUUUAUAUUUUAGAUCUCAUCUUUAAAUUUAUGAUGGUUUUUUAUCUUUUUUCUUUUUCUCACAUGAUGUUAAAUUUAUCUCCAAGUGUUUUUUCUUGAUGUUUGGCUGUGGAGAACUGAAUAUUUGUGUCUCUAACAUGGCAAUGCUGAAGCUCAGAUUCUCUUUUUCCAGAUGACUGAAGUUUAUCUCCCAACCAUCAUUUCUCUUGAAAAAUAAAACAGUCCCUAUUUCUUCAUUUUUUUAAACUUUUAAAACAUUUUUAUUUUAUUUUUUACUUAUUCACUUUACAUCCCGCUCACUGCCCACCUCCUCAUCACCCCCUCCUAUAUUCCUUCCUAAUCCCCUUACCUUCUUCUUUGAGAGGGUGGGACCUGCCUGGGUAUCCAAAAAUGGAAGGAUCUCCCAUGCUCAUGGAUAGGGAGGAUUAACAAAGAAAAUGGCCAUCUUUCCAAAAGCAACCUAUAGAUUCAACGAAAUCCCCAUCAAAACUCCAACACAAUUUCUCAUAGAAAGAACGAUUUUUUUUUUUUGAGACAGGGUUUCUCUGUAUAGGCCUGGCUGUCCUGGAACUCACUCUGUAGACCAGGCUGGCCUUGAACUCAGAAAUUCGCCUGCCUCUGCCUCCCAAGGGCUGGGAUUAAAAGCGUGUGCCACCACGCUCGGCUCAAACAAUUUUUAACUUCAUAUGAAAACCCAAAAAACUCAGGAUAGUCAAAACAAUACUGAAUCAUAAAAGAACUUCAGGAGGAAUCGCCAUCUCUGUCCUCAAGCUGGACUACAAAGUGAUAGUGAUAAAAACUCAAUGGCAUUGGUACAGAAACAGACAUGUCAAUCAAUGGAAUUAAAUCAAAGUUGCAGAAAUAAACUCACAGACCUAUGAAUACUUGAUUUUUGAUAAAGAAGCCAAAACUAUAAUAGAAAAAAAAGGAUGCAUCUUCAACAAAUGAUGCUGGGCUAUCAGGAUGUCUACAUGUAUAAGAAUGCAAAUAGAUCUGUAUUUAUCACUCUGCACAAAACUCGAGUCCAUGUGAUGACGGACCUCAACAUAAAACCCUAUACACUAAAUCUCAUAGAAGGUAAUUUGGGAAAUACCCUUGAACACAUUGGUGCAGGAGACAGUUUCCUGAUCAGAGCACCAAUGGCUCAGGCUCUAAGAAGCAGUUUCUUAAAAGAAACAUUUUCAAGAGGUGUCUUUAGACUCCGCUGAAAGGUAAUCUUCCAAAAGCCAGGAAAGGAGCUCUCCCCAAGUGUUGGGGGUGCUAGCACUUUACAGCACUUAGGGCCAGUGAGAAAUAAGUGUCUAGUAUUUAAGACAGCCGUCCAUGGUGUUCUGAUGUACCAGCUACAACUAAGACACAGAUGGGUGCUUUUCCCAUCACUGUUUGUUGAGUAUAGUUUCUUUGUGUAGUGGUUUGUGGACUUUUGAUUGAUUAUGCAGCUCUGGUACUAGCUGGUCUGCUUUGUUUGAGUGGCUUAUAUGCUCCAAUCCUUUAGACUCUAGUCCACUGCCUUGGAUUCUGCAGCUUUAUAGAAAUCUUAAAGUCAGAAGAUGCCAUUUCUCCACAUUUAUUCUUUUCUCAAAACUGUUUUGGCUUUUUAUUAGCCUGUUCAUACUGACUUUAAUACCAACUUGUCUAUAUAAGAAAGAAAACUUUGGCUGAGAUUUUUAUUUUCCAAAAGGAAUGCAAAAUCACAUUGCCUGUAUAAGAAUUUGGGAAGAACUAGGAAUUCAGGUACAGUAAAAGCCUUCUCAAAUUAUUGAUUUCAUUUUGUCCUGGGUGGAUAUAAAAUAUUAAUUUUGGGUAUAUGCCAUACCUAAAGAAUUAAUCAUCCAUGUUCACAGCUAUUGGAUUACUUUUAAAAUUCUAUUAUUAUAAUAUUGUAAUCUAUUGGAUGGCUUUCCCCCCUCCAAGUUUUGGUAAUUUGUAUUGUAUCUCACUAUUUCUUAAGUUUUGAUAGUUUUUGAUCCUUAUUAUUCAUCGUUUAAAGAGGCAUCUGAUGUGGACAUUUCUGGUUUAUUUGGACACUCAGAUGUGUCAUAUGAUGUUUUUCUGGAAACUGUCUUAUGAGAGGAUGUUUUUGCAGAAGCAGACACAUGGGAGGAUGUUUCUCUGAGAACAGACAUGUGGUGUUUUUCUGGAAGCUGCCUGAAGAAAGGGCCCUUGAAGUUUUGCUAGAACAGACAUUUGAAAGAACACGUGAUGUUUGGGAAGGGUAUAAAUGAAACCCAGCAGACAGUAGAUGGACGAGACUGUGUGGUAUUAGUAUGCCUUACCAUUCUUUGCUAGUCAUCAUUGGACUUGCUGCUACUGAUCUUCGCUGAUGCUGCUGCAUGGUAUUGGUUUGCCUUGCCAUUCUCUGAUGGCUAUUGUUUGCCAUGAUGUCACAGAGAGAAACACUACAAAAACCUCUUGUGGCAUUCUGGUGACCUCUUGCCACUUCUACAAACUCAGGGAGAUUGGCAGAACCUCAUAGUUUCAUCUAGAUCAAACUGCCACUGCUAAUUAUGUGAAUGAGCUGCUGAUAUACUGACAAUGCAGACUGGAUUCACUCCAAACAGUUCCACAUCCUCCUUGGCCCUAUUAAACUUUCUUUUCUACCUCUGGUGUGUAGUGAGCCAGAAGAGAAGUUAAAGCAUUUAAGUUCAUUUAUUAAAAUUAGGUUUUGAAAAUUUUAAACCUCCAAGCAUCCAUUAAGUUACUUUUCUCUAUUGUUUUUCCCUUUCCAUAUUCAUUUGUUUCUUCAUCACAUAUACUAUGAAAUAUAAUAUUUUUAGUUUCAGUCACUUCAGAAUAUAUUCUAGUUUCUCAUGAGACACUCUGCUCCAUGAAGUGUUAGAAGCUGUAAUUCUUAGUUCUAAGUGUCUACACACUGCUGCUACAUAUGCAGCUAGAUACACGAGCUCUGGGGGUACUGGUUAGUUCAUAUUUUUGUUCCACCUAUAGGGUUGCAGACCCCUUCAGCUCCUUGGGUACUUUCUCUAGCUCCUCCAUUGGGGGCCCUGUGUUCCAUCCUAUAGAUGACUGUGAGCAUCCACUUCUGUAUUUGCCAGGCACUGGCACAGCCUCACAAGAGACAGCUAUAUCAGGGUCCGGUAAGCAUUUUUUCAAUUGAGAGAGAUUCCUUCUUUUCAGAUGCCUCUUCUUGUGUUAUACAGACAAAACAACCUUAACCAACAAAACUUCUGUCUUCUUGGUGGUGGUUGAUUUUUGUUUAUUUGCCUGUUUGUUUUUCUAGUUUGGACUCAUAAUGUUCAACAUAAAUUCUUUAAAAUGUCUCAGUCUCUUAAAUUUUUUUAAUACAGUUUAACUUUGAUAAAUGUUACAUGUGCACUUGAAAAUAGUGCACAUUAUAUUAAGCAUUGAGUAAAAUGUUCUCUAAGUGUUGUUGGCUGUUGGCUGAAAGUAUUGUUUACAUUCACUGUAUCUCUUCUGAUUUUUAAACAACUCUCUUCUUCUAUGUGUACUUGUGGUGUGUGUGUGUGUGUGUGUGUGUGUGUGAAUUUGAGAGAGAGAGAGAGAGAGAGAGAGAGAGAGAGAGAGAGAGAGAGAGAGAGAUGUUGCCAUAAAGAAUUAUCUUCUGCUAUUGCUCUCCAUCUUAUGUACUGAGGGAGGGUCUCUUCCUGAACCAGAAGCUAACUUCUUUGGCAAUUCUAGAUAUAUGGCCUUGACUUGAAGAGCCCCUCUUUUCACCUCCCAAGUGCUGAUAUUACCUGCAGGCCUGCUAAGCCUGUCUGGCUCAGUGAGUGAUUAUGUGAGUGAUUGGAAUCAAAAUUCAGUUUCUCACAUGUACAUGCCAAAAGCUUUAUUCACUGAGUUAUAGCUCUAGUCCUACAAUUCUUUUUUAUUUUAGUGUUUGGUGUCCUGUGAUGUCAGCAUGUGUUCAGAUUUGGGCCUAUGAACUGUUAUUUGUGCUGUAUUGGACCCACUGGAAUCCUCGUGUUCUAUGUCUCUAUUCUUGUGUUGACUCUAAUAGAAAC